GUGAACGCUAGCGGUGCGCCUAACACAUGCAAGUCGAGCGGUAGAGAGGAUUAGCUUGCUAAUCUAAUUGAGAGCGGCGAACGGGUGAGUAACAUGUUGAAAUCUGCCCCCAAGUCAGGGAUAGCCAUUGGAAACGAUGAUUAAUACCGGAUAGUCUCUAUGGAGUAAAAAUUUAUUGCUUGGGGAGGAGUCUACAUUCUAUCAGCUAGUUGGUAAGGUAAAAGCUUACCAGGGCAAUGACGGAUAGCUGGUCUGAGAGGAUGAUCAGCCACAAUGAAACUGAGACACGGUUCAUACUCCUACGGGAGGCAGCAGUGAGGAAUCUUCCACAAUGGACGAAAGUCUGAUGGAGCGACACCGCGUGAAGGAUGAAGGCCUAACGGUUGUAAACUUCUUUUCUGAAGGAGCAUAAUGAGAGUACUUCAGGAAUAAGGGACGGCUAAUUACGUGCCAGCAGCCGCGGUAAUACGUAAGUCCCGAGUGUUACCCGGAAUCAUUGGGUGUAAAGGGUUCGUAGGCGGAAGGACAAGUUAGAUAUUAAAGACCGAGGCUCAACCUCGUGUUUGUGUUUAAAACUAUCCAUCUAGAAUUAGGGAGAGGUAAGCGGAAUUCUAAGUGUAGGAGUGCAAUCCGUAGAUACUUAGAGGAACACCGAAAGCGAAGGCAGCUUACUGGAACUAUAUUGACGCUGAUGAACGAAAGCGUGGGUAGCGAAAAGGAUUAGAUACCCUUGUAGUCCACGCCCUAAACGAUGAUGACUAAGUGUUGGGACUAGAUCUCAGUGCUGAAGCUAACGCAUUAAGUUAUCCACCUGAGGAGUACGGUCGCAGAUUAAACUCAAGGAAUAGACGG
rnacentral:rRNA from 1 species